CCAACGGGGGACAGCAGUAGGGAAUUUUCGUCAAUGGGCGCAAGCCUGAACGAGCAAUGCCGCGUGAACGAGGAAGGUCUUCGGAUCGUAAAGUUCUGUUGAAGGGGAAAAAGAGCGGAGAGAGGAAAUGCUUUCUGAUUGAUAUUACCCUUCGAGGAAGUCACGGCUAACUACGUGCCAGCAGCCGCGGUAAUACGUAGGUGGCGAGCGUUAUCCGGAAUGAUUGGGCGUAAAGGGUGCGUAGGCGGCCUGCUAAGUCUGGAGUGAAAGGUACCGGCUCAACCGGUACAGGCUCUGGAAACUGGCGGGCUAGGGAGCAGGUGAGGGCAGUGGAACUGUAUGUGUAGCGGUAAAAUGCGUAGGUGUAUGGAAGAACACCAGUGGCGGAGGCGGCCGCCUGGCGUGUUAACUGACGCUGAGGCACGAAAGCGUGGGGAGCAAAUAGGAUUAGAUACCCUUGUAGUC
rnacentral:rRNA from 1 species